rnacentral:rRNA from 1 species
GACGAACGCUGGCGGCGUGCUUAACACAUGCAAGUCGAACGGAAAGGCCCUGCUUUUGUGGGGUGCUCGAGUGGCGAACGGGUGAGUAACACGUGAGUAACCUGCCCUUGACUUUGGGAUAACUUCAGGAAACUGGGGCUAAUACCGGAUAGGAGCUCCUGCUGCAUGGUGGGGGUUGGAAAGUUUCGGCGGUUGGGGAUGGACUCGCGGCUUAUCAGCUUGUUGAUGGGGUAGUGGCUUACCAAGGCUUUGACGGGUAGCCGGCCUGAGAGGGUGACCGGGCACAUUGGGACUGAGAUACGGCCCAGACUCCUACGGGAGGCAGCAGUGGGGAAUAUUGCACAAUGGGCGGAAGCCUGAUGCAGCAACGCCGCGUGCGGGAUGACGGCCUUCGGGUUGUAAACCGCUUUCGCCUGUGACGAAGCGUGAGUGACGGUAAUGGGUAAAGAAGCACCGGCUAACUACGUG